UGAGCAAUCUGCCCUUCUCUUCGGAAUAAGCGUUGGAAACGACGUCUAAUGCCGAAUACGACCUCCUUUCGCAUGAUCGGAGGUGGAAAGUUCCGGCGGAGAAGGAUGAGCUCGCGGCCUAUCAGCUAGUUGGUGGGGUAAUGGCUCACCAAGGCGACGACGGGUAGCUGGUCUGAGAGGAUGGCCAGCCACAUUGGGACUGAGACACGGCCCAGACUCCGUAGGGAGG
rnacentral:rRNA from 1 species